rnacentral:lncRNA from 1 species
ACACUGGAAGCCUCUCUGUGGCUGAUGGGAGGACCAGGGCUGAUGAAAGGAUGGAGCCAUGAAGGGCAGCCCUCCUGCUGCGGGUCGCCCUGCUGCUGCCCUGGGCCUGCAGCUCCUGGCACGUGGGUCUCUGGGACUCCUUGUGGAUGUGCCUCUCCAGGGCCCUCCAUCCUCGGUGGGCAGGAGACUCCCCUAGGGAGCUUGCUCUCAAGUUCUCAAUAGCAUACACACGGCUGCCACAAAUACACAGAAGUUUUGGGAAUUAGCUCUGUGAGACAGGCCUAUUUCAGAUAAGAAAAAUGAGGAUCAGAGAAGCUGAAAGUCUUGCGGAGGACACCCCAGCAAGGCGAAUUACAGGCCCAGAAUUCUAACGAGGGCAUCCGGACUCUGGGAUUACAACCGCCUUCUGCGUCCCAGGAAAAACCUCCUCUAGUCAUGCCCAGAUCUGCCUGGUCUAAAAACCACAAAAAUCGCAGGACUUUCCACUGAGUCAAUGCUUGUCACGUCUAGAGACCUGGAUCGAGCUGUUUCCUUCCAUUCACAGAGCCGUCCUGCAGGAGAGAUGUUACUUUUACCAUCAAUGUAAAAACUGAGCCUUAAACUGCUUCAGAAACUGUUUAGAUUCAUUCAACUGAAUAUUCACACUGGAGUUUGAAUCAAGGCCUACGUGGCUUUAGAAAUUUAAGAUCCAAACCGUACCACUGUUGUACCUGACAUCCUUCAUGCACCUCCCUCAUCUUCAGAGAAACAAUUCUAAUUCUUCACUUUAAAGCAAGGUAGUGUGACUUUCCAAUGACUUCAGGGCAUUCGGUAAAGAACAGCUUGGUUCAAAGUAAGUUGAUGAGCACAGCAAUUUCUUCAUAAUGGCAACCUG